UACGUAGGCAGCAAGCGUUGUUCGGAGUUACUGGGCGUAAAGGGCGUGCAGGCGGUCUGUUAAGUUCAGGGUGAAAGCUCCCGGCUCAACUGGGAGAGGUCCUUGGAUACUGGCAGACUUGAGGGAGGUAGAGGAGAGUGGAAUUCCCGGUGUAGUGGUGAUAUGCGUAGAUAUCGGGAGGAACACCAGUGGCGAAGGCGGCUCUCUGGGCCUUUCCUGACGCUGAGACGCGAAAGCGUGGGGAGCGAACCGG
rnacentral:rRNA from 1 species